GGUAUGAUUUGCAGAGGGCUAUUUCAGGGGCGAAGAGACAAUUUUGAACAAGGUUGGAGAUGACUUCAGACGUACAACAACUCUGGGAGAAAAUAACUACAGCUGCGACGAUCCCUGCUGCAUCUGAUGACUCUGUGAUCUCCGUUUCAGAAGCCGAUGUUAGGCUGUUUUUAAAGAGAGUGAACCCUCACAAGGUGGAAGGUCCCGAUGGAAUACCUGAACAGAGGAGGCUAUCUUUUGGAAGCAAAUACACCAUCCUGUGGAUUCGGAAUUGACUUGCUCAUAGAAGGCAGAGGGUGAUUCAGGCAUAUUCUGCCUGCAGAGUCUCAUUGACUUUACGGAAUUAGGUUAGAUGCGAGGCAUCUCAGGAAUAUUCAUCAACCGUAUGGACAGCAGCUGACUUUUGCUGUAUCAACAUGAGAGAGCAGGU